rnacentral:rRNA from 1 species
CCUACGGGUGGCAGCAGUGGGGAAUAUUGGGCAAUGGGCGCAAGCCUGACCCAGCAACGCCGCGUGAAGGAAGAAGGCUUUCGGGUUGGAAACUUCGUUUGGCAGGGAAGAGAAGAAGACGGGACCUGACGAAUAAGCCACGGCUAACUACGGGCCAGCAGCCGCGGUAAUACGUAGGUGGCAAGCGUUGUCCGGAUUUACUGGGUGGAAAGGGCGUGUAGCCGGGUUGACAAGUCAGAUGUGAAAUCCUGCGGCUUAACCGCAGAACUGCAUUUGAAACUGUUGAUCUUGAGUACUGGAGAGGCAGCCGGAAUUCCUCGUGUAGCGGUGACAUGCGUAGAUCUUAGGCGGAACACCAGUGGCGAAGGCGGUCUGCUGGCCCGCAUCUGACGGUGAGGCGCGAAAGCGUGGGGAGCAACCAGGAUUAGAUACCCCAGUAGUC